ACCGGCAAGCUUCAGCCCCCCUGAAGUAACCGCCAUCGUGACGGCGUCGCUCGAAGGGAUGCUCACGGAUCGUGGUGGUGAUGGUGUUGCACAUGGCCAUUGUGAACCCACCGAGACUUUUCCCCCGUCAUAGGAAUGUGGAAUUUCCACCACUGGCUCGGGGAUAUCGGCCUCGUGUAAACGAGCUGGGUGCAUCGUAACAGGCGGCGGCGGCUUAGGCCUUCAUCCAACAGUGGAUAAAGCCUGGCCGGUGAUUACGAUGGCGGUGCCUAGCGGAGGCCUUCAUCCAGCAGUGGAUAGACCACGGCCGGUGAUUACGAUGGCGGUGCCUAGCGGAGGCCUUCAUCCAGCAGUGGAUAGACCACGGCCGGUGAUGAUGGCGCCACCACCGUGGGCGAUGGACCCCCGGUCCCUGCUGCACGGGGGCUACCACCACACCGUGCUGCGGCGCUGGCAGGGGAAUGGCGCCGCCUUCAGCGCCGACAACCUCGUCUACCCACUCUUCAUCACGUAAGACAACCUCGUCUACCCACUCUUCAUCACGUAAGACAACCUCGUCUACCCACUCUUCAUCACGUAAGACAACCUCGUCUACCCACUCUUCAUCACGUAAGACAACCUCGUCUACCCACUCUUCAUCACGUAAGACAACCUCGUCUACCCACUCUUCAUCACGUAAGACAACCUCGUCUACCCACUCUUCAUCACGUAAGACAACCUCGUCUACCCACUCUUCAUCACGUAAGACAACCUCGUCUACCCACUCUUCAUCACGUAAGACAACCUCGUCUACCCACUCUUCAUCACGUAAGACAACCUCGUCUACCCACUCUUCAUCACGUAAGACAACCUCGUCUACCCACUCUUCAUCACGUAAGACAACCUCGUCUACCCACUCUUCAUCACGUAAGACAACCUCGUCUACCCACUCUUCAUCACGUAAGACUACCUCGUCUACCCACUCUUCAUCACGUAAGACUACCUCGUCUACCCACUCUUCAUCACGUAAGACAACCUCGUCUACCCACUCUUCAUCACGUAAGACUACCUCGUCUACCCACUCUUCAUCACGUAAGACAACCUCGUCUACCCACUCUUCAUCACGUAAGACUACCUCGUCUACCCACUCUUCAUCACGUAAGACUACCUCGUCUACCCACUCUUCAUCACGUAAGACAACCUCGUCUACCCACUCUUCAUCACGUAAGACAACCUCGUCUACCCACUCUUCAUCACGUAAGACAACCUCGUCUACCCACUCUUCAUCACGUAAGACAACCUCGUCUACCCACUCUUCAUCACGUAAGACAACCUCGUCUACCCACUCUUCAUCACGUAAGACAACCUCGUCUUCCCGCUCUUCAUCACGUAAGACAACCUCGUCUACCCACUCUUCAUCACGUAACACAACCUCGUCUAUCCACUCUUCAUCACGUAAGACAACCUCGUCUACCCACUCUUCAUCACGUAAGACAACCUCGUCUACCCACUCUUCAUCACGUAAGACAACCUCGUCUACCCACUCUUCAUCACGUAAGACAACCUCGUCUACCCACUCUUCAUCACGUAAGACAACCUCGUCUUCCCGCUCUUCAUCACGUAAGACAACCUCGUCUACCCACUCUUCAUCACGUAACACAACCUCGUCUAUCCACUCUUCAUCACGUAAGACAACCUCGUCUACCCGCUCUUCAUCACGUAAGACAACCUCGUCUACCCACUCUUCAUCACGUAAGACAACCUCGUCUACCCACUCUUCAUCACGUAAGACAACCUCGUCUACCCACUCUUCAUCACGUAACACAACCUUGUCUAUCCACUCUUCAUCACGUAAGACAACCUCGUCUACCCACUCUUCAUCACGUAACACAACCUCGUCUACCCGAUCUUCAUCACGUAAGACAACCUCGUCUAUCCACUCUUCGUUAUGUAAGACAACCUCGUCUACCCACUCUUCAUCACGUAACACAACCUCGUCUAUCCACUCUUCAUCACAUAACACAACCUCGUCUACCCGCUCUUCAUCACGUAAGACAACCUCGUCUACCCGAUCUUCAUCACGUAAGACAACCUCGUCUACCCACUCUUCAUCACGUAACACAACCUCGUCUAUCCACUCUUCAUCACGUAACACAACCUCGUCUACCCGCUCUUCAUCACGUAAGACAACCUCGUCUACCCACUCUUCAUCACGUAAGACAACCUCGUCUAUCCACUCUUCAUCACGUAACACAACCUCGUCUACCCACUCUUCAUCACGUAAGACAACCUCGUCUAUCCACUCUUCAUCACGUAACACAACCUCAUCUACCCGAUCUUCAUCACGUAAGACAACCUCGUCUACCCACUCUUCAUCACGGAUGAUGCUGAUGGGCUUGAGCCCAUUCCAAGUUUACCUGGGCUGGCCAGGUAUGGAGUGAACAGGCUGGGGCCUGUGCUGGAACCCCUCAUCAAGAACGGCCUCAAGGCCGUGCUGAUAUUCGGUGUCCCUGCCAAGCUCCCCAAGGAUGACAGAGGCUCCAGCGCCGACUGCCCCACCUGCCCGGCCAUCCUCGCCG